rnacentral:misc_RNA from 1 species
UGUUUCAGCAGUUUACUAAAUUGUGGCUUGGAAAUUUCAGAAGCUCCUCCAAGGGCAUUUCCUCUAACAAGAACGGGAAGUCCUGACAAAGAUUCUGCAACAGUUGCACCCUUCUGCCGUAGCUCAGAAGUCUUCAAGUUUCUAAAUGCUUUAUCCUUCACAAUUACACCUUUUCCAGCUAAAGCCCAAUUAAGACCACAUGCAAAUCCAGUGUCCUCCCUGUCCCUAGGAAAAUUGACUGUUUCACCAUCCUCCUCAACUGAUGGCACUGAAACUACGUUACGUCUCGGGUAAAGCAAGAAAGUAAGAGAAGCAGUGGGUCUGGAGAAGGAGCGAAAGAAUGAGGGGUCCAGAAAGCGUUUGAUCACCAAGUUGUUCAUUUUAUGUUCACACCGCUAACAACAAGAAGCACGAGAGAGACUGAAAGAGAGAAGGAGACGAAAGUGGUCGAAGCUCAGAGCUGUGUGAGAGUUUAGGCCUUC